GGCGACCGGCGCGACGGUGAGUAACGCGUACUCCAACCUCCCAUAGUAGAGGAUACGCCGGACGAAAGUCGGAUUAAUACUCUAUGUGUACAACGAGGACAUCUGAAUUGUACCAAAGAUUUAUCGCUAUGGGAUGGGGGAUGCGUCUGAUUAGGUAGUCGGCGGGGUAACGGCCCACCGAGCCGACGAUCAGUAGGGGUUCUGAGAGGAAGGUCCCCCACAUUGGUACUGAGACACGGACCAAACUCCUACGGGAGGCAGCAGUGAGGAAUAUUGGUCAAUGGGCGGGAGCCUGAACCAGCCAAGUAGCGUGCAAGGAUGACUGCCCUAUGGGUUGUAAACUGCUUUUAUGCGGGAAUAAAGUCAGGUACGCGUACCUGUUUGUAUGUACCGCAUGAAUAAGGACCGGCUAAUUCCGUGCCAGCCGCGGC
rnacentral:rRNA from 1 species